GUUGAUCUGCCAUUUAUUCAAUCCAUUGAUCUACAGACAAGAAUUAAUUGUGGAACUCAACAACUUCUGUCAAAACUAAGAGGAAACCAGUUUUAUUGUCUGUUGACACGAGGGACAUCUCUCUGGACUUGGUGUGAACACAGGGCUGGAUCUGGUUCACAGGAGAAGCUAUGUCGGUGAGGAGCCAAUUUCACAGAAUCACGGUGGGUGUGACCCAGCUUACUGUUCUCUCUGAACUCUUGUCCCUGUCUUGUCCUUCUGAAGAGAACAUUCAACCUGGUCUGCCUUCUACUCUUUGGAUGCUGAGAGAUGGAGCCUUGCAGCUUACCAAAAUGCAGCUUCACGAUAGGGAAUUGCAUCUAGGUCAAAAGUCACUAUUAUCCUUACAGGUAAUAUCAGUGGAUGUAAUUUCUCUUCUUGGAGUUUGUGUCAAGGCAGCAAGAUGGAAAACAGAAACUGGAUACUGAAUGUCCUUGCCUACUUUCCCUCCUACCUGGAGGAAUGUGUUUUCUAAAAACUACCUAAUAUUGCCAUUACUAACACACUGUAACUUUUGUAUGGAGAAGUCCAUGACCUUUGGAAUUGAUGCAUUUAGGAGGAACCACUAACUAGUUAUGAUAACACAUUUUGAAUUGCUAAUAAAAAAGCCCAUACAAUCGUACUUUUAUUAAGCUGUUAAGUGCUAAUUUCACAGCACACACUGCAUGUCAGAGCUACUUAACCACUAAGUUACAAAGGUGUCUGGUAGCCUUGGGUCACUGCUGAGUAGCAAAGACAAAGACCUCCAUGGGGUUAUCUGGCUAGAUUUUACCACCUUGCUCAGGACUUGCUUGUCCCAGAACCAAGAGAUAUUGACCUUUUAUAAUUGAGGCAAUCUCCUCAAAGGUCAGCCCUGACAGAAACACUAAUUGGUGUGGUCGGAUUUGCUGAAUCCCAGGGCCGCGUCAACUCAGAGGAGUGUUUGCCGUUUCCUUUCACUGCUCUGAGGACAGCAGCUCUACUCAGGCCACCUGGGAUUUUUGUAUUACUAACUAAGGGAAAAAAAUCUGCCAAACACAGCAGCCACCACGCUUUGAGGGGAAAGAUUGCAUCCAUUCCCAUCAGGGUGUCUGUAGUAUUUAGCCCAGUGGCCCAAGUUUCCUAAAUAUUUGUUCUCUCACUGAUUGAAUAAACAAAUGAAUGCAUGUUCUUACAGUAAUAGUUAUGAAAUGCCUGGAGUCUACCUAGAAGGGUGUAUCAAACGUUACCAUUUCCUGAAAUCACUGAUGGCUCCCAGUGACGUGUGCCUGAAGCCAAAUGGGAAGAUAGGGAAACUGAGUCUCAGGAAAAUAAGAGAACUUUCCAAGAACAUAUGGGUAAGUAUGUGCGGAUUUGGAAUUUGAGAUUCCAGUCUGUCAGAAUCUGACAUCUAAAGAACCUGAUGCCACACAGUACGGAGGUAGCCUUCUGAGUGGUUCUACUUGUCCCCAAAUGCCGCUAACUUCAUUCAAAAUUCUCAUCACCCACAAAUAUGGGAAUGAUGCCUCUGUUAGCCUCCAGUUCAGAUGCAGCAUAACAUUUAUCUAAGUGGGUCUACAGCCCUUUAUAGCCAGCUCUUUAUUGAGUGAAAUUGCAGUUAGGAGGAACUAAAAUGGGGCAUGCUCUGGAUUAGAGCUAAGGCUGAGCAUGUAUAACAUGAAAUAAAAGCUUGAAUUUGCAGAAAGCUUCAUGGGUAUACAACACUAUAGAGAUUCCCCCAUUGCUAGGGCAACAGGAGAUCCCAAUCCAGUACAGCUUCCACAGCCUAAUCCUAAAAGUAUCCAAUAGCCUUCAGAGGGAGAGGUCUUGGGUAAUGGGGAACGUUCCUGACUCUACCUGCAGAAUUCCACAAAUGCCCUUGGAUAAGGUCAGAAGCCAAGAUCAACAAAAUGCCAACUAGAGACACUGGACUUAGCCACUCAUCCAGAAAACUGUACAGCUCCAAGGGGAAGUGGGGCCCCCAGGUCAGCUGCAGGUCCUGAAGGCUGCUAAGUGGCCCAGGGACUCAGCAAGGCACUCUCCGGAGAUGUGGGUGCAGGUGUCUCAUUCAGAGGGAGCUCU